GGGGAAUAUUGCACAAUGGGGGAAACCCUGAUGCAGCAACGCCGCGUGAGCGAUGAAGGCCUUCGGGUUGUAAAGCUCUGUCUUCGCUGACGAUAAUGACGGUAAGCGAGGAGGAAGCCACGGCUAACUACGUGCCAGCAGCCGCGGUAAUACGUAGGUGGCAAGCGUUGUCCGGAAUUACUGGGCGUAAAGGAUGCGUAGGCGGCCUCUUAAGUGGGAUGUGAAAUCCCGGGGCUUAACCCCGGAGCUGCAAUCCAUACUGGGGGGCUAGAGUGCAGGAGAGGAAAGCGGAAUUCCCAGUGUAGCGGUGAAAUGCGUAGAGAUUGGGAGGAACACCAGUGGCGAAGGCGGCUUUCUGGACUGUAACUGACGCUGAGGCAUGAAAGUGUGGGGAGCAAAC
rnacentral:rRNA from 1 species